GGUUAAGCGACUAAGCGUACACGGUGGAUGCCCUGGCAGUCAGAGGCGAUGAAGGACGUGCUAAUCUGCGAUAAGCGUCGGUAAGGUGAUAUGAACCGUUAUAACCGGCGAUUUCCGAAUGGGGAAACCCAGUGUGUUUCGACACACUAUCAUUAACUGAAUCCAUAGGUUAAUGAGGCGAACCGGGGGAACUGAAACAUCUAAGUACCCCGAGGAAAAGAAAUCAACCGAGAUUCCCCCAGUAGCGGCGAGCGAACGGGGAGCAGCCCAGAGCCUGAAUCAGUGUGUGUGUUAGUGGAAGCGUCUGGAAAGGCGCGCGAUACAGGGUGACAGCCCCGUACACAAAAAUGCACAUGCUGUGAGCUCGAUGAGUAGGGCGGGACACGUGGUAUCCUGUCUGAAUAUGGGGGGACCAUCCUCCAAGGCUAAAUACUCCUGACUGACCGAUAGUGAACCAGUACCGUGAGGGAAAGGCGAAAAGAACCCCGGCGAGGGGAGUGAAAAAGAACCUGAAACCGUGUACGUACAAGCAGUGGGAGCACGCUUAGGCGUGUGACUGCGUACCUUUUGUAUAAUGGGUCAGCGACUUAUAUUCUGUAGCAAGGUUAACCGAAUAGGGGAGCCGAAGGGAAACCGAGUCUUAACUGGGCGUUAAGUUGCAGGGUAUAGACCCGAAACCCGGUGAUCUAGCCAUGGGCAGGUUGAAGGUUGGGUAACACUAACUGGAGGACCGAACCGACUAAUGUUGAAAAAUUAGCGGAUGACUUGUGGCUGGGGGUGAAAGGCCAAUCAAACCGGGAGAUAGCUGGUUCUCCCCGAAAGCUAUUUAGGUAGCGCCUCGUGAAUUCAUCUCCGGGGGUAGAGCACUGUUUCGGCAAGGGGGUCAUCCCGACUUACCAACCCGAUGCAAACUGCGAAUACCGGAGAAUGUUAUCACGGGAGACACACGGCGGGUGCUAACGUCCGUCGUGAAGAGGGAAACAACCCAGACCGCCAGCUAAGGUCCCAAAGUCAUGGUUAAGUGGGAAACGAUGUGGGAAGGCCCAGACAGCCAGGAUGUUGGCUUAGAAGCAGCCAUCAUUUAAAGAAAGCGUAAUAGCUCACUGGUCGAGUCGGCCUGCGCGGAAGAUGUAACGGGGCUAAACCAUGCACCGAAGCUGCGGCAGCGACGCUUAUGCGUUGUUGGGUAGGGGAGCGUUCUGUAAGCCUGCGAAGGUGUGCUGUGAGGCAUGCUGGAGGUAUCAGAAGUGCGAAUGCUGACAUAAGUAACGAUAAAGCGGGUGAAAAGCCCGCUCGCCGGAAGACCAAGGGUUCCUGUCCAACGUUAAUCGGGGCAGGGUGAGUCGACCCCUAAGGCGAGGCCGAAAGGCGUAGUCGAUGGGAAACAGGUUAAUAUUCCUGUACUUGGUGUUACUGCGAAGGGGGGACGGAGAAGGCUAUGUUGGCCGGGCGACGGUUGUCCCGGUUUAAGCGUGUAGGCUGGUUUUCCAGGCAAAUCCGGAAAAUCAAGGCUGAGGCGUGAUGACGAGGCACUACGGUGCUGAAGCAACAAAUGCCCUGCUUCCAGGAAAAGCCUCUAAGCAUCAGGUAACAUCAAAUCGUACCCCAAACCGACACAGGUGGUCAGGUAGAGAAUACCAAGGCGCUUGAGAGAACUCGGGUGAAGGAACUAGGCAAAAUGGUGCCGUAACUUCGGGAGAAGGCACGCUGAUAUGUAGGUGAAGUCCCUCGCGGAUGGAGCUGAAAUCAGUCGAAGAUACCAGCUGGCUGCAACUGUUUAUUAAAAACACAGCACUGUGCAAACACGAAAGUGGACGUAUACGGUGUGACGCCUGCCCGGUGCCGGAAGGUUAAUUGAUGGGGUCAGCGCAAGCGAAGCUCUUGAUCGAAGCCCCGGUAAACGGCGGCCGUAACUAUAACGGUCCUAAGGUAGCGAAAUUCCUUGUCGGGUAAGUUCCGACCUGCACGAAUGGCGUAAUGAUGGCCAGGCUGUCUCCACCCGAGACUCAGUGAAAUUGAACUCGCUGUGAAGAUGCAGUGUACCCGCGGCAAGACGGAAAGACCCCGUGAACCUUUACUAUAGCUUGACACUGAACAUUGAGCCUUGAUGUGUAGGAUAGGUGGGAGGCUUGGAAGUGUGGACGCCAGUCUGCAUGGAGCCGACCUUGAAAUACCACCCUUUAAUGUUUGAUGUUCUAACGUUGACCCGUAAUCCGGGUUGCGGACAGUGUCUGGUGGGUAGUUUGACUGGGGCGGUCUCCUCCUAAAGAGUAACGGAGGAGCACGAAGGUUGGCUAAUCCUGGUCGGACAUCAGGAGGUUAGUGCAAUGGCAUAAGCCAGCUUGACUGCGAGCGUGACGGCGCGAGCAGGUGCGAAAGCAGGUCAUAGUGAUCCGGUGGUUCUGAAUGGAAGGGCCAUCGCUCAACGGAUAAAAGGUACUCCGGGGAUAACAGGCUGAUACCGCCCAAGAGUUCAUAUCGACGGCGGUGUUUGGCACCUCGAUGUCGGCUCAUCACAUCCUGGGGCUGAAGUAGGUCCCAAGGGUAUGGCUGUUCGCCAUUUAAAGUGGUACGCGAGCUGGGUUUAGAACGUCGUGAGACAGUUCGGUCCCUAUCUGCCGUGGGCGCUGGAGAACUGAGGGGGGCUGCUCCUAGUACGAGAGGACCGGAGUGGACGCAUCACUGGUGUUCGGGUUGUCAUGCCAAUGGCACUGCCCGGUAGCUAAAUGCGGAAGAGAUAAGUGCUGAAAGCAUCUAAGCACGAAACUUGCCCCGAGAUGAGUUCUCCCUGACUCCUUGAGAGUCCUGAAGGAACGUUGAAGACGACGACGUUGAUAGGCCGGGUGUGUAAGCGCAGCGAUGCGUUGAGCUAACCGGUACUAAUGAACCGUGAGGCUUAACCUU
rnacentral:rRNA from 1 species